UGUUAAUGUGUUUGUUCCACAUUGACCAUUUCAGAGUCUCUUUCAAGGUCGGAGCAUCUCUAUUCCCAUCUGAUAAAUAUAGUUAAAAAUUAAUGUUAUAAGUUAAUAAAGAAAUUAAUCUUUACUAAUUAAACAUCUUUUUACGAUUCUACCAUCUUUUAAUGGUUUUUAACAUUCUACAUAAACUGUAACCUUAUCCAAGUAAAUAUGAGACCACCUAUGUUAAACUGAAAAUGCCCCACAAUUAAGGAGAUAACCAACAACAACAACAAGAACGACAAUUAAGGAGAUAACCAGAAAGCAUAAAUUAAAGGGGGGAAAACUAUGAAAAAUUCAAUUAUAACAGCAAAUCAUUCCAACUAUAAAAUGACCUCUCUUUUGGAAUAAUAUGAUUGUAUUUCCAUCUUAACUUCAAAAGAUUGACCCAUACUUCAAUCAACUAUGAUUUAUCUGUAUAUAUUUCACAAGUUCGAAUUUUAAUAUUUAGAGCAUUUGUGAUAUCCUCUCAAAUUGUUACAUAAAUAAAUAGCAUAAAAUUGAGUAAAAAAAAAAGUUAGGAUAAUUUUAAUAGAAAAAGGACCUGCAAAGUCAUGAACUGUCCGUGAAUUUUCUCGGGAGCAGAAAGUGUCUUGUCGUUGAAGCCUUUAAUUGCUGCCAAUCAAUAACGUUGUUGAUCCCUGAUUUUCGACUCGGAAUCCAAAUUGAAAGCCUGCCACCAUUGACUCCAAAUUUGCCUCGUCUUCUAUUUGGGGGAGAGUACUGUUAUGUGAGAGAUUUGAGGAAGGG
rnacentral:lncRNA from 1 species